rnacentral:lncRNA from 1 species
AAUUCCAGCAGCCCAGCCUCGGCUUCGCUGUCAGGUGGGUUUCCUCAACCAUCACCUCUUCCUCUCCUUCCAACAGCUCCUCCGACUCUGGCUCGAUCUCCUCCACUCGCUUACCGGAUUGUUGGAACUUCAGCGUCGGGCGAAAAGCUGACCUUCGCUCGCGUCUGCGGAAAAGGUACUCCACCUCUACACACUCUUCCCUCAGCUGCUCCAGGUUCCGGACUCGGAUCGCGUACACAUAACGAGCGAUCUCCUCCUCGAGUCUCUUUUUGACGACUCUGAUCAUCUCAGAAUCUGCUAUUGGGGUGAUCAGUCUUGCAGCCAGCCUCCGCAUCGCUCGAAAGUAAUCUUCCACCGAUUCUCCAGGUUCUUGCCGUCGCUCAUUCAACGCACGCAGCCGCUCGUAUUGCCCACCUACUGCACGGAAUCGGGAUACCAACUCGUCCUUUAAGUCCUCCCAGACUUCUGGAGGAUUCUCUCUUACAAAUUGCCAGUACCACUCGGCAGCACGUCCUCUCACCAGAUGGUGAAAAUUAUCAAGGACUUCGUCCCACGAGCGUCGACUCUGCCUCUGGAGAAAUUCGACCCGAAACACAAAAUCCUCCACCGUCAGUUUGGCCGGGUCUGGGUCGCCGUCGAAAUGGAUGUCCCAUUUGUCGAUGCGUCCCCAUCUCGGCUCUCUCCAGUCGUCUCGCCUCUCGUAGGGCGUCGUGUAUCGCC